AGUCUGGUGCCAGCAGCCGCGGUAAUUCCAGCUCCAAUAGCGUAUAUUAAAGUUGUUGCGUCUAAAAAGCUCGUAGUUUGAAAACUUGCCUUGGCUUACAACAGACGUCUAAGGGCGUCACCGUUUGUCGAGAGCAAAUAUGGGUGACUGUUCUUGCCUUCUUCACUGAUUGGCUCGUAAAAGUCAUCGAAGAUCACUUUGAUUAAAUUAGGGUGCUCAAAGCAAGUGUGCUACUUGAAUAUGAAUGCAUGGAAUGAUGGAAUAUGUUGUUGUUCUAUUUGUUGGUUUUUUGAAUGACGAAAUGAUUGAAAGGAACUGUUGGGGGCAUUCGUAUUGUUGUGAGAGAGGUGAAAUUCUUAGACCAUAGCAAGACGAACUACUGCGAAAGCAUUUGCCAAGAAUGUUUUCAUUGAUCAAGAACGAAAGUUAGAGGUUCGAAGGCGAUCAGAUACCGCCCUAGUUCUAACCAUAAACUAUGCCGACUAGCAAUUUGCUUUGUAUUUUUAUGACUAAGUGAGAGGCCUCGGGAAACCAAAGUAGGGUUAUGGGGGAAGUAUGGUUGCAAAGCUGAAACUUAAAGGAAUCGACGGAAGGGCACCACCAGGAGUGGAGCCUGCGGCUUAAUUUGACUCAACACGGGAAAACUUACCUGGUCCUGACACUAGAAGGAUUGACAGAUUGAUAGCUCUUUCUUGAUUUGGUGGAUGGUGGUGCAUGGCCGUUCUUAGUUGGUGGAGUGAUUUGUCUGGUUAAUUCCGAUAACGAACGAGACUCUAGCCUAUUAAAUAAUAUGCGGAAUCAAUUUCUCCCGCGUUAUUUCUUAAUGGGAUCAAGCGUGUUUAACGCUUUGAAACAGAGCAAUAACAGGUCUGUGAUGCCCUUAGAUGUUCGGGGCUGCACGCGCGCUACAUUGAAGAACAAAGUGAGCCCUCUGGCUUUUAACAAAGCUAGAAAUCUUUUAAUGUUCUUCUUAAUGGGGAUAGGGGAUUGCAAUUGUGCCCCUUGAACGAGGAAUUCCCAGUAAGUGCUAGUCAUUAGCUAGUACUGAUUACGUCCCUGCCCUUUGUACACACCGCCCGUCGCUACUACCGAUUGAAUAGUUUAGUGAGAUCAUCUGAGUGUUUGUAUGUGCAUUCUGUGCUUGUAUGGUGUACGAAGAAGAUCAAACUUGAUUAUUUAGAGGAAGUAAAAGUC
rnacentral:rRNA from 1 species